rnacentral:misc_RNA from 1 species
GAGUCGAGGGUACCCGAAGACGCUAGUCUAACCGUAAGGAGGACGGUGGCGAAGGUACGUUUGGUAAGGAGGGUGAAGUCGUAACAAGGUAGUCGUACCGGAAGGUGCGGCUGGAUCACCUCCUUUCUAAGAGAAAGGUGUAUUAGCAACGUCUUAUAUAGGAUGUUUUGCUAUUUUUCUUGAAGUACACAAGAAUAUACUAUACUUGCCUUUACUUCUUCUAUUCUUUCCUUUUCUUUUUAUAGGGUCUGUAGCUCAGUUGGUUAGAGCACU